AGCUGGUCUUCAUACCACAGUAAGGUCAUAACAGUAGAGCUGGUCUUCAUACCACAGUAAGGUCAUCACAGUAAGGUCAUCACAGUAGAGCUGGUCUUCAUACCACAGUAAGGUCAUAACAGUAGAGCUGGUCUUCAUACCACAGUAAGGUCAUAACAGUAGAGCUGGUCUUCAUACCACAGUAAGGUCAUCACAGUAGAGCUGGUCUUCAUACCACAGUAAGGUCAUAACAGUAAGGUCAUCACAGUAGAGCUGGUCUUCAUACCACAGUAAGGUCAUCACAGUAAGGUCAUCACAGUAGAGCUGGUCUUCAUACCACAGUAAGGUCAUAACAGUAGAGCUGGUCUUCAUACCACAGUAAGGUCAUAACAGUAGAGCUGGUCUUCAUACCACAGUAAGGUCAUAACAGUAAGGUCAUAACAGUAAGGUCAUAACAGUAGAGCUGGUCUUCAUACCACAGUAAGGUCAUAACAGUAGAGCUGGUCUUCAUACCACAGUAAGGUCAUCACAGUAGAGCUGGUCUUCAUACCACAGUAAGGUCAUAACAGUAGAGCUGGUCUUCAUACCACAGUAAGGUCAUAACAGUAGAGUUGGUCUUCAUACCACAGUAAGGUCAUCACAGUAAGGUCAUCACAGUAAGGUCAUAACAGUAGAGCUGGUCUUCAUACCACAGUAAGGUCAUCACAGUAGAGCUGGUCUUCAUACCACAGUAAGGUCAUAACAGUAGAGCUGGUCUUCAUACCACAGUAAGGUCAUAACAGUAGAGCUGGUCUUCAUACCACAGUAAGGUCAUAACAGUAGAGCUGGUCUUCAUACCACAGUAAGGUCAUCACAGUAGAGCUGGUCUUCAUACCACAGUAAGGUCAUAACAGUAGAGCUGGUAUUCAUACCACAGUAAGGUCAUCACAGUAGAGCUGGUCUUCAUACCACAGUAAGGUCAUAACAGUAAGGUCAUCACAGUAAGGUCAUCACAGUAGAGCUGGUCUUCAUACCACAGUAAGGUCAUAACAGUAGAGCUGGUCUUCAUAUCACAGUAAGGUCAUAACAGUAGAGCUGGUCUUCAUACCACAGUAAGGUCAUAACAGUAGAGCUGGUCUUCAUACCACAGUAAGGUCAUAACAGUAGAGUUGGUCUUCAUACCACAGUAAGGUCAUAACAGUAGAGCUGGUCUUCAUACCACAGUAAGGUCAUAACAGUAGAGCUGGUCUUCAUACCACAGUAAGGUCAUAACAGUAGAGCUGGUCUUCGUAUCACAGUAACGUAAUCACAGUAGAGCUGGUCUUCAUAUCACAGUAAGGUCAUAACAGUAGAGCUGGUCUUCAUACCACAGUAAGGUCAUAACAGUAGAGCUGGUCUUCAUACCACAGUAAGGUCAUAACAGUAAGGUCAUAACAGUAGAGCUGGUCUUCAUACCACAGUAAGGUCAUAACAGUAGAGCUGGUCUUCAUACCACAGUAAGGUCAUCACAGUAACGUCAUCACAGUAGAGCUGGUCUUCAUACCACAGUAAGGUCAUAACAGUAGAGCUGGUAUUCAUACCACAGUAAGGUCAUCACAGUAGAGCUGGUCUUCAUACCACAGUAAGGUCAUCACAGUAGAGCUGGUCUUCAUACCACAGUAAGGUCAUAACAGUAGAGCUGGUAUUCAUACCACAGUAAGGUCAUCACAGUAGAGCUGGUCUUCAUACCACAGUAAGGUCAUAACAGUAAGGUCAUCACAGUAGAGCUGGUCUUCAUACCACAGUAAGGUCAUAACAGUAGAGCUGGUCUUCAUACCACAGUAAGGUCAUAACAGUAGAGCUGGUCUUCAUACCACAGUAAGGUCAUAACAGUAGAGCUGGUCUUCAUACCACAGUAAGGUCAUAACAGUAGAGUUGGUCUUCAUACCACAGUAAGGUCAUAACAGUAGAGCUGGUCUUCAUACCACAGUAAGGUCAUAACAGUAGAGCUGGUCUUCAUACCACAGUAAGGUCAUAACAGUAGAGCUGGUCUUCGUAUCACAGUAACGUAAUCACAGUAGAGCUGGUCUUCAUAUCACAGUAAGGUCAUAACAGUAGAGCUGGUCUUCAUACCACAGUAAGGUCAUAACAGUAGAGCUGGUCUUCAUACCACAGUAAGGUCAUAACAGUAAGGUCAUAACAGUAGAGCUGGUCUUCAUACCACAGUAAGGUCAUAACAGUAGAGCUGGUCUUCAUACCACAGUAAGGUCAUCACAGUAACGUCAUCACAGUAGAGCUGGUCUUCAUACCACAGUAAGGUCAUAACAGUAGAGCUGGUAUUCAUACCACAGUAAGGUCAUCACAGUAGAGCUGGUCUUCAUACCACAGUAAGGUCAUAACAGUAAGGUCAUAACAGUAGAGCUGGUCUUCAUACCACAGUAAGGUCAUAACAGUAGAGCUGGUCUUCAUACCACAGUAAGGUCAUAACAGUAGAGUUGGUCUUCAUACCACAGUAAGGUCAUAACAGUAGAGCUGGUCU